rnacentral:rRNA from 1 species
AUUGAACGCUGGCGGCAGGCCUAACACAUGCAAGUCGAGCGGAGCGGCGGACGGGUGCGUAAGGGCUAGGAAUCUGCAUGGUCGUGGGGGAUAACGUCCGGAAACGGGCGCUGAUACCGCAUACUAUCAGAUGAGCCUAGGUCGGAUUAGCGAGUGGGUGGGGUAAAGGCCUACAAAGGCGACGAUCCGUACAUGGUCUGAGUGGAUGAUCAGUCAAACUGGAACUGAGAAACGGGCCAGACUCCUACGGGAGGCAGCAGUGGGGAAUAGUGGACAAUGGGCGAAAGCCUGAUGCAGCCAUGCCGCGUGUGUGAAGAAGGUCUUCGGAUUGUAAAGCACGUUAAGUUGGGAGGCGUUACCAACAGAAUAAGCACCGGCUAACUUCGUGCCAGCAGCCGCGGUAAUAC